rnacentral:rRNA from 1 species
AACGAACGCUGGCGGCAGGCUUAACACAUGCAAGUCGAACGCCCCGCAAGGGGAGUGGCAGACGGGUGAGUAACGCGUGGGAAUCUACCGUACCCUACGGAACAACUCCGGGAAACUGGAGCUAAUACCGUAUACGCCCUACGGGGGAAAGAUUUAUCGGGGUAUGAUGAGCCCGCGUUGGAUUAGCUAGUUGGUGGGGUAAAGGCCUACCAAGGCGACGAUCCAUAGCUGGUCUGAGAGGAUGAUCAGCCACAUUGGGACUGAGACACGGCCCAAACUCCUACGGGAGGCAGCAGUGGGGAAUAUUGGACAAUGGGCGCAAGCCUGAUCCAGCCAUGCCGCGUGAGUGAUGAAGGUCUUAGGAUUGUAAAGCUCUUUCACCGAUGAAGAUAAUGACGGUAGUCGGAGAAGAAGCCCCGGCUAACUUCGUGCCAGCAGCCGCAGUAAUAC